rnacentral:lncRNA from 1 species
UUCCAACAUCAACUCAUUCUCAUUACCUUAAAAACAUAUGUGAUGAAACCCGUCAAAUUGGAAACAUGAUUUUAAACCAUCAUCUUACCCAUUAAUCACUAUCAUAACCCAAAUUUUUUCAAAAAAAAGACCCAAAUGAACAAACAGGCCAUACCAAAUGAAUUCAGCAGAUGAACUCAAUUUCAACUAUACAUACACAAAUGUUUCAAUUUCAUAAUUCCAUUUCAACAAAUGAAUUCAAAAAUAAUUUAGCACAUAAGAAAAUUCAACACAAUAAAGAACAAAGAACACAUUUUCAACAAAUGAACACAUAAUUCAGCAAGAUCAAGAAUCAGAUUUCAACACAAAUCAGCAAGACCGACAAUAUAUUUCAGCUAUACAUACACAUAUAAAACAAAGAACAAAUUAGAACAAAGAACACAUUUUCAGCAAUAUUGUUCAACAACUAAACACAAACUCAGCAAAUUUCAACAACAUAUUUCAACUAUACACACAUACAUUUCAGAAAUCAACAAAAACAACAAGAUCAUCAAAUUAUAUUUCAGAAUUCAACCCAUAUCAACAUUUGCAGAAAACAGCACAUACCAAGAGGGAAGACCAAUUUCAUCAGAUUUCUCAAGAAAAACCGCACAUAUCAAAAGAAGAAAAACUGCACAUAGCAAGAGAGAAGACCAAUUUGAUCAGAUUUAUCAAGAAAAAUCGCACAUAGCAAGAGAUGAAAACAACAUAUUGGCAAAGAAAUUAACUAUAGAAGUCGUGGGAGGUAAAGUUGCCGGAGGCACAACUGUCGCCGGAGGUAGAGAAACCAUCGGUGACGGCGAUUGCAGUGACGAGCUUCAGCAGAUUAUCGAUGGCAGGAAUGGAUUUUUUGUGUGUGUCGAUGAAAAAGAACAUAAUGGAAGCGUGCUGAGAAGAAAAGAAUAGCGUGAUUUGUAGGGUAGGGCACUUCGGUCUUUUUUAUUUUUUAGAUAUAAUAUGAAGUCUGAUUUUUUAAGAGGCUAUUAUCCAAUUCAGAUGUAAUUUAUAAGAGACAAACAACAAGUCUUAUCUGAAUUUUUAAGAUGUUACCUCUUAAAUUUUC